ensembl:rRNA LOC120096076 5S ribosomal RNA
GCCUACAGCCAUACCACCCUGAACGCGACCAAUCUUGUCUGAUCUAGGAAGCUAAGCAUUGUUGGGCCUGGUUAGUACGUGGAUGGGAGACCACCUGGGAUCCCGGGUGCUGUAGGCU